rnacentral:rRNA from 1 species
CUCGUAGGCGGUUUGUUGCGUCGGGAGUGAAAACUCAGGGCUUAACUCUGAGCUUGCUUCCGAUACGGGCAGACUUGAGGUAUUCAGGGGAGAACGGAAUUCCUGGUGUAGCGGUGAAAUGCGCAGAUAUCAGGAGGAACACCGGUGGCGAAGGCGGUUCUCUGGGAAUUACCUGACGCUGAGGAGUGAAAGUGUGGGGAGCGAACA